GAGAUUCAACGCGAUGGGAUGCGGUGAGAAUGCCACUGUGGCAGUCUUCAAGGAUUCCGUCUACAGUUGAACAAAUUGAUGCUCAUUAUCAAAUAACACCGUUUUUUAUUAUGAGCUUUAAUCCUGCCUCUAUGCAGGAAUGGAAAUGAUUCGUUCCUACAAGAAUCAGCCAUCGGAGAAUCCGCAAAGACCAUUUCAAACGGAGUGUUUUUGUUUGCAUAACACCCGCAUAGAUCCACUGGCUUAUCCUCCUGACUAUCAUUAUGCCUUGAGUUCAUUUAUCGUUUCCAGCGAAGAACAGUCAAAAUAAUUACCUCCCUUCCUGCCUGAAAUGUAAUAAAAGACAAAUUUGUGGCA